rnacentral:lncRNA from 1 species
AUCAGAGCUCGUGCAGCAUGAACUGACAUGUUGUCCACCCAAUAAGAAUGAAUCUAUCACUGAAAACAUAAGCUACAGCUAGCUAGCACUGCAGUGCAUAAAAUAUGAUGAGUAGUUGACUCAAAGAGAGAGAAAGACAAUAAUUGAUUUCUUCCAAAAUGAAGGAGAAGUAGGAGAGAGAGAGAUUGCAAUAUCUUUUUUUUUUUGAGGGGGGGGGGUUCACUUUCACUUAGCUACUUAGCUAGCAAAAGGCAAAAGCAGCUAGCUAGCUAGUUUAACCUACUCAAACACCCGGCUCAAACAGAGGGAUGCUAUGUUAGCUAGCUGAUUAUGACUAUCCAACACAACACUGGAACUCUUCCAAGUCAAGAUUCAACUAGUCUGUUACGGCAGAGGCAGAGAUGACGUUGGAGGGAUAUGGGUCAAACUUAGCUGAAAUGGUUUCGUGCCCCACGUCCGGUGUCAAGUUUUCAUACAUACAGCUGAGGACUUUGUAUCUUAGGCUUUGGAGUUUAACAGCUCUCCCUCGCUCUGUGUUGACAGGAAGUUUAACUCAGGCUGAGCUGAUGGAUGGUCUCUAUUUAGGCUGUGAGGAGGUCAAGCCCACAGAGGAAGCAAUCAACCAGGACUCAGAACAGGAGGAACCUCCACAGCUGCACUGGAAGUAAUAAACUGACCAGGGUGGGCCCCUGUUGGGAGAAUCCGUUUUUGCAGGGUCAAAGGGUUUGGUCAGAUUGGUCGUCCAAUGACCCCAUGGUGAACUUUAUGAGUAGGAACCUUGAAGCCGAGGAGCUGGGUAGUUGAAUUUUGGAGGAGGCUGAGCUGACUGGCAGUUAGCUUGAAACCCUCAUCAGGGAAUGAAUAGUCUGAAACCUGCCUAUGGUAGAUAUCUAGCUGUACUGCUCGAGAAACGUAUAAGCAGAUAUUUUUGUGUUUUUUUAAGCCUGGCUCUAAGACUCUCUGAGCUAAAUAAAUAGGAGAAUGAUUUGAAUCUGGCUUCCCUCUCAAUUCCACUUCAAACUUUAGUCUUAGUCACCAUGAGCCCCUAUACCCAUGAGAGUUGUAUAUGUAUGAAUUAUUUACAGCUUCAUGGCGGAGCGCUGCUGCUCCGUGCACAGAGUGAAAGUCAAUUUCAUUUUCUUCUUUUCAUUUCCUCGCAUCCCUCCAGCAUUUUCUAAAGUGGAAGAAGACAGAUUCUCAAUUUCAUUUGGAUUCUCUAACUUCCGUACCUUCAGAAAAGAGCAGAGAACUGUGCCAGAACUGAGUCAUGAAGAUGACAGAUUUAUAUUUCCAUUUCCCCCACCAUGUCUAUCGACAUCUGAAGUUUAAGUUAUUUUGCAGCUUUUUAGUUGGGUUAAGUCAUGAACUUAAAGAUGGAAUCCACAUAAGGGGGGAAACACCGAAACUGGCCGCCUCACCACCGUUGCUUUUGUUUUUGUUGCCGAGCUGAGGAGCGUCAUGCAACAUGGCAAAGAAACAUUACAGUACAUAUUGUGCUCUUCAAUCAUGCAUGCAAUGAUGCCCGAGGGAAACAAAUGUAACUCUUUAUUUCGAAAGUCCAUCUGUAGAUCCGCUACAGAAUAUCUACAGACUAUCAGUAACAUUUCAACUAACUAUCUGUUAACCCUAACCCUAGCUCGAACCCUAACCUUAACCCUUAUCCUAACCCUAAACUUAACCCUUACACUAUCCCUAACCCUAGUCCUAACCUUAACCCUUCCUUAUCCUAACCCUUAUUCUAAACCUAACCCCAACCUUAUCCAAUUAAAGUGUGACCAAAAA